GAUCCUGGCUCAGAUUGAACGCUGGCGGCAUGCUUUACACAUGCAAGUCGAACGGUAACAGGCCGCAAGGUGCUGACGAGUGGCGAACGGGUGAGUAAUGCAUCGGAACGUGCCCAGUCGUGGGGGAUAACGCAGCGAAAGCUGCGCUAAUACCGCAUACGAUCUAUGGAUGAAAGCGGGGGAUCGCAAGACCUCGCGCGAUUGGAGCGGCCGAUGCCAGAUUAGGUAGUUGGUGGGGUAAAGGCUCACCAAGCCGACGAUCUGUAGCUGGUCUGAGAGGACGACCAGCCACACUGGAACUGAGACACGGUCCAGACUCCUACGGGAGGCAGCAGUGGGGAAUUUUGGACAAUGGGCGCAAGCCUGAUCCAGCAAUGCCGCGUGCAGGAAGAAGGCCUUCGGUUGUAAACUGCUUUUGUACGGAACGAAACGGUCCUGGUUAAUACCCGGGGCUAAUGACGGUACCGUAAGAAUAAGCACCGGCUAACUACGUG
rnacentral:rRNA from 1 species